rnacentral:lncRNA from 1 species
UUUUUUUUUUUUUUUUUUUUUUAGCAAAAUUGAAUGUUCUAAUUAAACAAAAUAAAAAGAAAGAGAAAGAGAAAAAGAAAAAGAACAGAACGGAUAAUCAUAUUCUGUAUAUACUAAAAAAAUACGAAAGUUAUGAAGUAAAACAUAAUACGUUAUUCCUUUUUUGCUAUUUGUUGGGUAGAAAAUAUAAUAAUAAAAUAAAAAUAAAUUAUGAUGAUAAUAUCUUAUUAAAAAAAAGUAGUGAAGGCAAUAUGGGUAAAAUCAAUACGGUUAACUUUAGGGCUUUAGAAAAAAAAAAAAUGAAGAGAAAAAAGAAAAGAAAAAAAAAAAGAAAAAACAAAAAAUUGGGUAAAGUGGGUAAAGUGGAUAAAGUGAAUAAAGUUGAAAAUAGUAAAACAAAUCAAAGCAAAAGUGAUCGAAGUAAAACAGAUGCUAACAAAACAAACAGAAAAAAUUACGUCGAAAAUAUAAAUCGCAUCCAUGUCGAAAAAAAUAAAAACAUUCAACUGAAUGCUUUUUUUUAUAAUAUUUAUAAAAAGAAAAAAUUAAUGAUAAACAAAAAUCAAGCAUAUAAAAUAAAAUUUAAAACAGUUGAACAUCCUAACUGGUCAUAUAUACAAGAAAAAAAUUUUAAAAAUUUUAAAAACUACAGUUCUGAUGAUAAUAUUUAUUUUCCAUCUUUUGACUUAACAUGUUACCACAUCAAAAGGCAACUCACUUUGUUAUUAGAAAAGAAUCAAAACAAAAAUGGAAGAAGCAAAAAAGAAAAAAAAGGGAUGCAGAAUUAUUUAAAAAACAAACCAAUUAACGAAAACAUAAAUAAUAAGUUAUUUCAAAGGAGAACGGACAUGUUCGCAUAUAAAAAGAAAAGGGAUAGUAAUCAUAAUGGUAACACAUGGACUAGUAACGAUAAAACAUGCACCAAUAGCGGUAGUAUAAUCCCUAAUAAUAAUAAUAAUAAUAACAAUAACAAUAACAGUAAUAACAAUAAUAACAAUAACAAUAAUAACAAUAACAACAAUAACAAUAACAAUAACAACAAUAACAAUAAUAACAAUAACAACAAUAACAAUAACAAUAACAAUAAUAAGGUCAAAAAAAAAAGCACAAAUAAAAACAUAAACAUAAGUUCUUUUAAUUUGUAUUUUCUUAUAAAAAAGAAUGUUUUUAAACACAAAAACAAAAUGAAUUUUAUAUUUGAAAAUGUAUAUACUCCAAACAAAAAUAUUAUUAUUUUAUAUGAUGAUGAUUUUCAUAAUUCGAAAUAUGUAAGAGAUUUUUACUAUAAUUUAAUAUAUAACUACAAAUUAAAAAGCAUUUCUAUUAUAGAAGGAGGAAUAGAUACUUAUCACAAUUUAUUAAUUAAAAUUAAAGCAAUCGAUCAUAAUUCGGUUAACUGUAUUUUAAAUUCUAAAUCUUAUAGAAUAAAAAAACCAAUACAUAAUAAUGAAUUAGAUGAACAAAAUAUGUGUACUAUUACUAGUUCUAAUAUGCCAAUAAAACAAAAUGUAGCCAUAAACUUUUUUCAUAUACCAGAUGUGUGUUAUUAUUGUAAUAAUCAACAUUUUAUAAAAAUAAAAAAAAAUAUAUUAGAUGAUUUUUUUUUUGAUAUAUAUAAUGAUUAUACUAUAUUUGAACAUAUUUAUAAUUAUAUUUUUAAUUUGAGUGAUAAUUUGAACGUUUUUGAAAUUCUAAAAAAAAUUUUGGAAACAAAAAAAUUUAUAAAUAGGCAAUGUAAAGGUAAAGGAGGACAGCCAGAACAAUCAAAAGUACCGGCAAAAGAAAAAGAGCAAACGCCAUUUCGAUUAGUAGGUGUAGUAAAUUUUAUCAAAGGGAUGAACCGAAUAAGAAAUAAGACGAAAUUAAAUGAGUUAACAAACCGGAAUAAACAAAACGAACAAGAUAAAAUAAAACAUUAUAGUAUGAAUAGUGUAGAGGUUAGAAGGGAAUUGUCAUCUUUUGAUGAUUCUGUAGAAUAUUCGAAUAAAAUUGGCGAAAUUUGUAAUAGUGCAACUGUUACUACCUCUAAUAAUAAUAGUAAUAAGCAACAACAAAAGCAUAAUAUUAAUUAUAAAUUAGAUGUAAACACAAACAAUAUAUCUGAUAUGGUGAUAUUUGAUGUAUCCCAUUCAGUUGGUUCAAAAAAAUCCUCGAUUUCUCAAAAACAAGAAACAGUCGUGAAAGUUAAUGGACAAGAACAUGAUAACAAGCUUGAGAACGACAAAAAAUAUUAUUCAAGUUUAAAUUGUUAUAGCAACUAUGACAAUAAGAAAGAAAAUAAACAACUAAUCUAUCAAAAUUUAAGUGAAAAUAUAAAUACAAAAAAGACAAACAUAGAUAUUGAAAAUGAUAAUAUAUACAUGUGCAAUACUACACAAAAAAGGUACUUACAAAUAAAUACAAAUGAUGUUAUGAAUUGCAACCGUGAACAGUUAAUACAUAGUAUUAGUAGUAGUGGAAGUAGUGGAAGUAGUAUUAGUAGUGGUAAUUAUUAUACUUAUAGCAAUAAUGACUGUGUUAAUAUUAACAAUUUAAAUAAAAAUAUAAUAGAAGAAUAUAAGAAUACUAAUAAUGAAUUAGCAUAUAAUUAUAUAUUUAUAGAUGGAAGGGUUUACUUGAAAACAAAUAUAAAAAAAGUACCAGUACCAACAAACAGUAUUAAAAAGACAAACACUAACCCAAGUGAAGUAGACAUUUAUAAUAUUUAUUCCUAUAUAGAUAUAGUAUGUUAUAAUAGUUUGCUUUCCAAUUGUGGUAAUAGUGAUGGUAUUUGUGCUAGCUUUAACAAUAACAAAUGUAAUAAUAUAAUUAAAAUUUUUAACUGUUCUAUAAGCUUUAUAUACCAACCUUUAAUUCCUCACAACAUCAGAUCAAAUAAUAUUAUAAGCAAUUUUAUAGAGUAUGUAAAAUAUUAUAAAAAUAUGAAAAUGAAAUAUACACAAAAAAGUAAAAUGAAUAAUGGUAGUAAUUAUAUGGUUAGUGAAUUGAUUAAUGGAAACUUCGAUACAAUUACAGAUCCGAACCUUUAUUUAAAUUGUAAUAAAUUAAAUUUUGGUUUUUUUUUUAAUUUACCUUAUUCACCUUUUAAUAAAUUCAGAAGUAGUAAUUUUCAAAAUGUUUUUAUGAACCGUUCAGAUAACAUUAUUAAGAAAAUUUCCUCAAAUACUGUUGUUAAUGGUUUGAAUUUAUAUCCAACAGAUAGCGAAAAUGAUAGUCAUAUGGUAAAAACUAAGGAAUGUAGUUUUAGAAAUCGGGUCCCCUUAUAUAGUAUGGACAUGGACAUGUCAGUACAACAUGGUCUAGUAAAGAAUAAAUUAGAUGGAUUAACAAAAGGAGACUUCACAAAAGGAGAAAGGAUAAACACAAAUAACUACGAACAAAAUGACAAUUCAAUAAACGAUUCCAUUUUAAAUUGUAUGUGGAUAAAGAAUAGACCAGAGUUAGGUUUAUGUAAAAUUAUGCUUUAUGAUUAUUUUUUAAUUUUAUAUGGCACUCCUUACUUAUAUAACACAAAUGUGUUAGUAAGUGAAUGUGUUGAGGAAAAACAAAAUGAAAAUGGGGAUGAAGAUGGGGAUGAAGAUGGGGGUGAAAAUGGGCAUGAAAAUGGGGAUGAAAAUGGGGAUGAAAAUGGGGAUGAAGAUGGGGGUGAAAAUGGGGAUGAAAAUGGGGAUGAAAAUGGGGAUGAAAAUGGGAUCAAUAACGGGAUCAAUAACGGGGUCAAUAACGACAUCGGCUUGAUAAACUUUCUGAAAGAUAAAAAAGAAUAUACACUUAAAAAAGAAAAUGGUAUAUUACAAUUUUACGAUGAUAAACUACAUAAAAUAAUAAUACAUAAAUACAAAAAUUUAAAAACAAAAGAUGUCUUAUUUAAUAUAAAUUGUUAUAAAAUCAAUAGUGUUAAUAUAAAUUGGAAUGCUUUAUCAACACAUAUACUUCAGUAUACAAAUAAAGACCAUAUGAUGGAUCUAUAUAACUACUAUAAACCUUAUUUUAAUUUAUCUAAAAAUAAAUUAUUAAAUGGUAAAAGUAAUGGUAACUGCAAUGGUAACGGUAACUGCAAUGGUAACGGUAACUGCAAUGGUAACGGUAACUGCAGUGGUAACGGUAACUGCAAUGGCAACAGUGGUAACUAUUUUUAUUUCUCAAGUUGUGAAUUGUCGAGUGAUAGUAGUAGUAUUAGUAGUAGUAGUAGUAGCAGUAGCAGUAGCAAUAGUAGUAGCAGUGGUAGUAGCAGUGGUAGUAGUAGUAGCAGUGGCAGUGGCAGUGGCAGUGGCAGUGGGAGUGAUGGUAACUUUACUGGUUCCAACGCUUCUGAUGAUAAAGAAAAGUUUUCUUUUUCAGAUUAUCAUAAUUUAUAUAGCAAAAAUAUAAAAAAGAAAAAAAAAAUAAAUAGCAGUAGCAGUAAAAACUUUAGCUAUGAGAACUCGAAAAAAAAUAAGGAAAAAAAAAAGCCAGUAUUACAAUAUAAGAAUAUUAAUAUUGAUGCAAUAAAUAUUUAUGGAAUAUUUGAUUUACGUACAAUUCAUAAGAUCACUGAUUAUAAACACUCAAGCAAAGUUUUGUAUUUUUAUUUUACGACAAACAAGAACACUCCCCUGAUGGCUUUAAAUUUUGAAACUGAGUUGGAACUUCAAUCUUUCAUUUGUUCUAUUAAAGAAGCUUAUUCAUUCUAUGCAAAUAAAAAGGGACCUUAAUUUUUUUUUUUUUUUUUUUUUUUUCUGCCGUGUUAUAUUAUAUAACACUACAUCACGUAAUAGCACAUAACUUUGCGUUACAACAUGUAGCGUUGUAUUGUAUUAUGUUUAUGUUUUUUCUUUUUGUUGUGUUUAUAUGUUGUUUUUCCGUACUAUACUUUAUAUGCAAAUAAAGGCAUUAUCAUUUAUUUUUUUUUUUUGUAA